rnacentral:rRNA from 1 species
CAGGGAUUGCCUCAGUAACGGCGAGUGAAGCGGCAACAGCUCAAAUUUGAAAUCUGGCUUCGGUCCGAGUUGUAAUUUGUAGAGGAUGCUUCGGCUUACGUACCGGUCUAAGUUCCUUGGAACAGGACGUCACAGAGGGUGAGAAUCCCGUUUGUGGCCGGCACUUCCGCCAUGUGAAGCUCCUUCGACGAGUCGAGUUGUUUGGGAAUGCAGCUCUAAAUGGGAGGUAAAUUUCUUCUAAAGCUAAAUACCGGCCAGAGACCGAUAGCGCACAAGUAGAGUGAUCGAAAGAUGAAAAGCACUUUGGAAAGAGAGUUAAAAAGUACGUGAAAUUGUUGAAAGGGAAGCGCUUGCGACCAGACUUGCCCGCGGAUGCUCAACCGGUCCUUCGGCCGGUGCACUCUUCCGCGGUCAGGCCAGCAUCAGUUCGGGCGGUCGGAUAAAGGCCUUGGGAAUGUGGCUCUCUUCGGGGAGUGUUAUAGCCCUUGGUGCAAUACGGCCCGCCUGGACUGAGGCCCGCGCUUCGGCUAGGAUGCUGGCGUAAUGGUCGUAA